GACGAACGCUGGCGGCGUGCCUAAUACAUGCAAGUUGAGCGCUGAAGGUUGGUACUUGUACCGACUGGAUGAGCAGCGAACGGGUGAGUAACGCGUGGGGAAUCUGCCUUUGAGCGGGGGACAACAUUUGGAAACGAAUGCUAAUACCGCAUAAAAACUUUAAACACAAGUUUUAAGUUUGAAAGAUGCAAUUGCAUCACUCAAAGAUGAUCCCGCGUUGUAUUAGCUAGUUGGUGAGGUAAAGGCUCACCAAGGCGAUGAUACAUAGCCGACCUGAGAGGGUGAUCGGCCACAUUGGGACUGAGACACGGCCCAAACUCCUACGGGAGGCAGCAGUAGGGAAUCUUCGGCAAUGGACGAAAGUCUGACCGAGCAACGCCGCGUGAGUGAAGAAGGUUUUCGGAUCGUAAAACUCUGUUGGUAGAGAAGAACGUGGGUGAGAGUGGAAAGCUCAUCAAGUGACGGUAACUACCCAGAAAGGGACGGCUAACUACGU
rnacentral:rRNA from 1 species